rnacentral:tRNA from 1 species
AGCUCUGUGGUGUAUAACAUAUUGGAUUGCAAAUCCAAAGACGCAGGUUGACAGCCUGCCGGGGCUU